rnacentral:sRNA from 1 species
GCCGGGUGCGGUAGCGCACGCCUGUAAUCCCAGUGGCUUGGGAGGCUGAGACAGGAGAAUUAUGUGUUCAAAGCCAGCCUAAGCAACUAGGAGACACUAAGCAAUUCAGUGAGACCCUGUCUUUA